AUUGAACGCUGGCGGCAGGCUUAACACAUGCAAGUCGAGCGGGGAAAGGUAGCUUGCUACCUGACCUAGCGGCGGACGGGUGAGUAAUGCUUAGGAAUCUGCCUAUUAGUGGGGGACAACAUCUCGAAAGGGAUGCUAAUACCGCAUACGUCCUACGGGAGAAAGCAGGGGACCUUCGGGCCUUGCGCUAAUAGAUGAGCCUAAGUCGGAUUAGCUAGUUGGUGGGGUAAAGGCCUACCAAGGCGACGAUCUGUAGCGGGUCUGAGAGGAUGAUCCGCCACACUGGGACUGAGACACGGCCCAGACUCCUACGGGAGGCAGCAGUGGGGAAUAUUGGACAAUGGGGGGAACCCUGAUCCAGCCAUGCCGCGGGUGUGAAGAAGGCCGUUUGGUUGUAAAGCACUUUAAGCGAGGAGGAGGCUACCGAGAUUAAUACUCUUGGAUAGUGGACGUUACUCGCAGAAUAAGCACCGACUAACUCUGUG
rnacentral:rRNA from 1 species